GAUGAACGCUGGCGGCGUGCUUAACACAUGCAAGUCGAACGGUGAAGGCGGAGCUUGCUCUGCUGGAUCAGUGGCGAACGGGUGAGUAACACGUGAGCUAUCUGCCCCUGACUCUGGGAUAAGCGCUGGAAACGGCGUCUAAUACUGGAUACGAGCUGCGAAGGCAUCUUCAGCAGCUGGAAAGAACUUCGGUCAGGGAUGAGCUCGCGGCCUAUCAGCUUGUUGGUGAGGUAACGGCUCACCAAGGCGUCGACGGGUAGCCGGCCUGAGAGGGUGACCGGCCACACUGGGACUGAGACACGGCCCAGACUCCUACGGGAGGCAGCAGUGGGGAAUAUUGCACAAUGGGCGAAAGCCUGAUGCAGCAACGCCGCGUGAGGGACGACGGCCUUCGGGUUGUAAACCUCUUUUAGCAGGGAAGAAGCGAAAGUGACGGUACCUGCAGAAAAAGCGCCGGCUAACUACGUG
rnacentral:rRNA from 1 species